rnacentral:rRNA from 1 species
CGAGGUAACGGCCACCAAGACGAUGAUCAGUAGCCGGACUGAGAGGUUGAACGGCCACAUUGGGACUGAGAUACGGCCCAGACUCCUACGGGAGGCAGCAGUCGGGAAUAUUGCGCAAUGGAGGAAACUCUGACGCAGUGACGCCGCGUGCAGGAAGAAGGUUUUCGGAUUGUAAACUUCUGUCCUCAGGGAAGAUAAUGACGGUACCUGAGGAGGAAGCUCCGGCUAACUAC